GAUAAAAUGGCUGAGGAUAAGCGAUAAAUUGUAAAUUUAUUAACAAGAAUAUUUCUUUUUUAUUA
rnacentral:tRNA from 1 species